UUAUUUAAAAAAUUUUAUUAUUACUAUUACUAUUAUUAUUAUUAUUAGCUAUUGAGCUGUAUGAGUGACUUAUAUAUUUUGGAUAUUAAUCCCUUAUAUUUGUUUAUUUUUGUUUUUGUUUCCUAUAAAACAUAGGCAGAUGGUGUCAGAUCCAAAAAAUUAUUGCCAAGACCAAUGUAAGGAAGAUUUCCCUCCAUGUUUUCUUUUAGCAGUUUUAUGAUUUCAGGUCUUAUAGUUAAGUUUUUAAUCCAUUUGGAGUACUUUUUUUUGUAAGGGCGGUAAGAUAGGAGUCCACUUCUUUAAUAUGUGCAUAUAUCCAGUUUUCCCAACACUAUUCACUGAAGAGACUACACUUUCCUUAUCAAGUAUUUUUAACUCUCUUGCCAAAUAUUAGUUGACUGUGUAUGCAUGGGUUUAUUUCUAGACUCUUGAUUCUGUUCCAUACUAUUUGUCUGUUUUUAUGCUAAUAACAUACAAUACCAUACUGUUUUGAUUAGUACAGCUUUGUAGUAUAGUUUGAAAUCAGGAAGUGUAAUGCCUCUAGCUUUAUUCUGUCUUAGGGCUGCUCUGGAUGGUUGGAGUCUUUUGUAAUUUCAUAUGAAUUUUAGAAUUCUUUUUUCUGAUUUUGUUAAAAAUGCCAUUGGAAAUUUAAGAGAUUGCACUGAGUCUGUAGAUGACUUUGGGUAAUGUGGACAUUUUAACAAUUUAACAAUUUGAAGAAUUUACCAAUUCUGAUCCAUGAAUAUGGGUAUCUUUUUAUUUAUUUGUGUCUUCUUCAACUUCUUUCAUCAAAGUCUUAUAAUUUUCAGUAUAUGGGUCUUUCACCUCCUUGGUUAAAAUUAUUCCUAGGUAUUUUAUUCUUUUUGAUGCAUUUGUAAAUGGGAUUGUUUUAUUUCUUUCUUUUUCAAAUAGUUUGUUCAUGAAUAGAUAUGCAACCGUUUGUAAGUUGGUUUUGUAUCCUGCAACUUUACUGAAUUUAAUAGUUCUUGGAGUUUUUUUUUUUUUUAUGAAGUCUUUCAGACUCUCUACAUGAAAGAUCAUACAUCUGCAAACAGAGAUAUGUGAACAGAAAGAGGAAUAAAAUUCUUUCCCACCCUUUGUCAGGAAGUCUAUUUUCCUGAGACAAAGGUAGAGUAUACCAUGUUUUCCUUAAUAUAUUCCUGAUACCUCUCAUGAGUGUAGAUGCUUUUGGAUCCCUCCAUUAAUUUUCUACCCUUCUUUGUUUUGGGUGGCAAGGUGAGUUUUAAAAGUUUCUGUGUUUUCAUGGCUGUUUUGCUGGCAAUUGGGAGAGGUUCUACAAGAGAAGAAGUGAGGGACUUUUAACCAUAUGCCAUUUUGUAAUGAAAUUCUCCAACCCAGAAGAGUUUUACUUUUUUCAAAGACUGGUUAAUUGAAACACUACUUAUCUCUUAACUAUUUUACUAUUUCCAAUAUACCCUUAGAUGAUGAACAGUGGGUCCUUUUGUUAAUAAAACUGAGCAACAAGUAGUCAAAAAUCUGCUUUCAAUUAUUCCUGCUACACGAGGUCCUACUUAAGAAAUGUUGUUGUCUGCUCUUGUCUCCUGGGAGCUUCUAGAUGUUUACUUGUGCAGAUCACCUCCUGAAUGGGGUAGAGUGAACCUCACAUUCCAACCGUUUGUACCAGUUCCAAGUAUGGGGUCUGUGGGUUCAUGCACCAGCCUCCACCCGUCAGACAGUAAUCUUUCCUCAUUCACUUAGCAUCAGUGUCAUGAAUAUCAUUGUCUGUAAUUUGUCAUAGUACAGUGAAACUUUCUGGGCUCUGGAAAAGCUGUUAUCUCUUAUAUACAGCAGCUCCAAAUUUACAUGCUUUCUGACUUCUUCAUUGUACUUUUUAAUAUCUCUCUAGCUUUUCCUGUUUUUUCAGUGUGUCAGCUGUAGGAACUUGAUGUAUUCAGAUUAUCAUGUCUCUCUCAAUUUGUUGCUUUCAGUCUGAUAUGAGUUGGAAAAAACACAUAUCCAUUUUUAUGGGAAUUGUGUCAAUGAAUGAGAUCCUAUGACUAAAAAAAAAAAUUCCUGUGUCCACAAAGAGUAGAGUAUAUGUUAUCUUGUCUACCUUUUCCCGGUUUGUAAGAAUACUUCUAACGUCUACCUGUAGGUGGUUCCCAGGCAGGUGUGGUUGUGGGCGCUCCAGUGUAUGUGCAGGAUGCUGCCCAGGGGCCAUCCCAGCUGCCAUUGCUGCUUUUAGGAUACUGCAGUUGGAGUUAGGCAGCUGUGGAGCCCCAUCUGUCCUGCUAGCUUGUGUUCCCUGCAGGAGCUCAUAAAUUAUUUUCCACGCAGAUCAGAGCUGGAAUGGUAUAGACUCAUGAGUGUAUUUCUUAGUUUCUGAGACUAGCUUCUUGUUUGCCCUUUUGCACAAUUAUAUCCCCACCCCUUUGUCUCAGUCACAAGCAUGGGAUCUGUGGGCUGGUGUGCCUGCUUCCACCCCUUCACCAGUCAUGAAUGCCCAGUUUGGACUAUAUUAAUCAUAUCUUUUCAAAUGGCUCCAUAAACAGUGGUAUCACCUGUGCCAGCCCAGCCACAACUGGUUUUGGUGAGGUGCAAGUCAUGGAGGUGGAGGGAGUAGGUGGUUCUUCCUUGUGACACAAACUUGGUCUUAUUCCAAUCUUCACCCUCACAAAAGGACUUAUCCUGUCAUGUGCCACAGAGAUUUAGCCAUCAAGCCACAGGUAGAUUGGCUUUCCAACCUGUCACCCACCUUCCUCUCUAUUCCUUUUAUCUCAUGUUGCCCUGGCCAAACUGGGUUGAGGAUCUGAAAGUCUGGCCAGUGGUGGGCAUGGCUUCACAAUGACCACGAUGAGUUUUUCUCAGGCUCACCUAGUCAUUCAGACUCACAGCCCCAAUAGGCCACACUUGGUCCAUUUUUCUCAGAAAGAUAUAGGAGAGGAAAUACAACACAGGCUUCCUACUUUUGUACUUCUAGUUCAUACACGGUCCUUUUAACAUGGAUGCUGUUUACCAUUCAAGAGUCAUUUUACCCAAAAGUAAUGUUUUUGGUAACACAGUGGACAUUUUACAUGUGUCAGAUUUUCAGAAAAGAGCUAGAAAGUUAAUCCUAUGUAAGAUUAGUCACUAGAGAAAGAGAUAAAUGGGUUUGUUAACCCUUCGCCCAUGAGAAGUCACGGGUUGUAGCAGAUGGCAGAGUUAUGGCCAAAUUGAAUACUGGUGUAGACUCUUGAGAAUGUCUUGUAGUUUCUGGCAAUAGCUCUUUGAUUGCCCUUUUGUACAAUUUUAGAUUCUCAAAAGGAGUGAUAUAAUAUUUUGGAGGGAUAAAAGGACUGCCCUUUAAAAGAGAAUAAAGUAUUCUCUGAGUGCAAAGAAAAGAGACCAUAGUCACAUAGUUAACUUCUAAGACAGUUGAUUUAAGCCUUUGUCAGUAAGUCAAUGCCCAUGUUUCUUCAGAAACCAUUUAUAUUAACUUCUUCUCCUUUUUUAUCCAAUUUUUAAAGUCCUUUGUGAUUUUAUUUUUGUGUUCGGUGUAAGAAGUGGUCCAGUUUUCCCAACACCAUUUGCUGAAUAGACUGUCUUCUCCUCAUUGUAUAUUCCUGCCUCCUUUAUUGUAAAUGAAUGGGCCAUGUAAAUGUGGGUUUAUUUCUGGGCUCUCUAUUCUGCUCUAUUGAUCUAUGUGUCUAUUUUUGUGCCAGUAUCGUUUUGGGUUUUUUUGUUUUCUUUCUUUUUUUCUUUCUUUCUUUCUUUCUUUCUUUCUUUCUUUCUUUCUUUCUUUCUUUCUUCUACUAAAGCUUUGCAGUGUAUUUUGAAAUCUAACACUGUGAUACCUCUGCUUUGUUCUUCUUUCUCAAGAUUUCUUUGGCUAUUCAGGGUCUUUUGUUGUUCCAUACAAAUUUUCAUAUUAUUUGUUCUAGUUCUAUGAAAAAUGAUGUUGGCAUAUUGCACUAAAUCUGUAGAUUGCCUUGGGUAGUAUGGACAUUUUAACAGUAUUGAUUCUUCCAAUCCAUAAGCAUUGAAUAUCUUUUAAUUUUUUUGUGUCAUCUUCACUUUCUUUCAUCAAUGUUUUAUAGUUUUUAGAGUGCAGACCUUUCACCUUCUUGAUUAAGGUUAUUCCUAGGUAUUUUAUUAUUUUUGGUACAAUUAUAAAUGGUAUUGUUAUUCUUAAUUUCCAAUUGUACAGCAUAGAAGGAAUGGAUAAAAUCCAUUUGUAAUAACCUACUGAAACAGAAUCAGGAAUAAGAAAAUGUGAAUAGACUGAUUGCUAGCAAUAAAAUUGGAUCAGUAAUCAAAAAACUCCCAACAAACAAAAGUUCAGGACCAGAUGGCUUCACAGAUGAAUUCUAGCAAACUUUAAAGAAGAGUUAAUAUCUAGUCUUCUCAAACUAUUCCAAAAAUAGAAGAGGAAGAAAAGUUUCAAAAUUCAUUCUAUGAGACCAAUGUUACCCUGUUAUCAAAACCAGAUAAAGACACUAAAAAAAGAGAGAACUACAACCCAGUAUCUCUGAUGAACAUAGAUGCAAAAGUCCUCAACAGAAUAUUAGCAAACUGAAUCCAAUAAUACACUGAAAAAAAAAUCAUUGACCACUAUCAAAUGGGAUUUAUUCCAGGGAUUAAGUGUGGUUCAGUAUUUGCAAAUCAAUCAGUGUGAUACAUCACAUCAACAAGAGAAAGGAUAAAACCAUAGGAUCAUCUUAAUAGACGCAGAAAAAGCAUUUGACAAAGUAUAACAUCAAUUCAUGAUGAAAACUGUCAUCAAAGUGGGUUUACAGAGAAAAUACCUCAGCCUAAUAAAGGCCUUAUAUAAAAAACCCACAGCUAACAUCAUACUCAAUGGUGAAAAACUGAGACCUUUUCCUCUAAGAUCAGGAACAAGUCAAGGAUGUACACUCUCACCACUUUUAUUCAACAUGAUACUGGAAGUCCUAGCCACAGCAAUCAGACAAGAAAAAGAAAUAAAAGGAAUCCAAAUUGGCAAGGAAGAAGUACAAUUUUCACUAUUUGCCAUGACAUGGUACUAUAUAUAGAAAACCCUAAAGAGUCCAACCAAAAAUUACUAGAAUUGAUAAAUGAAUUCAGUAAAGUCACAGGAUACAAAAUUAAUAUACAGAAAUUUUGAUGCAUUUCUAUAUACUUCUCUGUUUAAAUUAAUGGACUCUAUUUUUUUAGAGCAGUUUUAGUUUUACAGAAAAGUUGAGUAAAUAGUUCAGAAAGUUCUCAUGUACCCCUUCUCCACUAGACAGUUUUUCCUAUUACAACAUUUUGCAUUAGUGUGGUAUAUUAUAUAAUAGAUAUAUUAGUAUUAACUAAAGUCCAUAAUUUACAUUUGGAUUCAGCCUUUGUGUUAUAUAGUUCUGUGGGCUUUGAAAAAUGCAUAAGGUCAUAUAUCCACAAUUAUAAUAUCAUAUGGAAGGAACAGUUUUACUGUACUAAAAAUCCUCUGUGCCCUGGUUAUUCAUCCCUCCCUCUCCAAAACCCUAAAAACCACUGAUCUUUUUAUCUUUAAUUUUGCCUUUUUAAGAAUGUCAUAGAGUUGGAAUUAUACAGCAUGUAGCCUUUUCAGAUUUGUUUCUUUUACUUAGAAAUAUGCCUUCUGGUUCUUCUAUGACUCUUUGUGGUUUGAUCACUUAUUUCUUUUCAGGACUGAAUAACAUCCCAUUGUUUGGAUAUACCACAGUUUGUUUACCUUUCAUCCCACUGAAGGACAUCUUGUUGCUUUCAGUUUUGGGGAGUUAUGAAUAAAGCUGCUACAAACAUCUACAUGCAAGCUUUUUUUGCAGACUAGAUUUUCAAUUCAUUUGGGUAAAUACCUAGGAUUGUAAUUGCCAGAUAAUAUGGUAAGAGUGCACUUAAGAAACUGUCAGACUGUCUUCCAAAAUGUCUGUACCAUUUUGAAUUCCCACCAAAAAUGAAUGAGAAUCACUGUUGCUCCAUACCCUUACCAAUAUUUGGUGUUGUUUCAGGAUUUUGGCCAUUUUAAUGGGUGUGUAAUGGUAUCUCAUUGUUUUAAUUUGCAAUUCUCUGGUGACAUCUGACAUUGAGUAUCUUUUCAUAUGCUUAUUUGCUAUUUGAUGAGGUCUCUGUUCAGAUCUUUUCCCCAUUUUUAAAUUGUGUUAUUUUCUUAUUGCUGAAUUCAAGAGUUCAUUGUAUAUUUUGGACACAAGUCCUUUAUCAGAUAUGUGUUGUGUAAAUAUUUUCUCCCAGCCAGUGGCUUGUUUUUUCAUUGCCUGAAUUGUGUCUUUUGCAAAGUAGAAAAAUUUAAUUUUAAUGAAGUCCAAUUUAACAAUGUUUUCUUUGAUGGAUUGUGCUUUUGAUGUUGUGUCUAAAAGGUCAUCUCCAAACCCAAGGUGACCUAAAUUUUCACCUAUAUUAUCCCCUAGAAGUUUUCUAGUUUUAUGUUUUACAUUUAGGUUUACGAUCCAUUUAUGGCUAAUUUUGGUCAAAAGUGUAAUACCUGUGUCUAGAUCCUCUCUCUCUUUUUUUUUUUUUUUUGCAUAUGGAUGUCUAGUAGUUCUAGCACCAUUUGUUGAAAAGACUAUCUUUUCUUUACUGAAUUGCCUUUGCUUCUUUGUCAAAGACCAGUUGGCUAUAUUUGUGUAGGCCUAUUUCUGAGUUAUUCAUUUUGGUCCAUUGAUCUGUUCAUUCUUUCACCAGUAUCAUACUGUCUUGAUUACUGUAGCUUUAUAGGAAGUCUUGAAGUUGGGUAAUGUCACUUCUCAGUUUCUUUUUUUUUUUAAUGUUUAUUUUAUAUUUGAGAGAGACAGAGCAUGAGCCAGGGAAGGACAGAGUGAGAGAGAGAGAGAGGCACAGAAUCCAAAGCAGGUUCCAGGCUCUGAGCUGUCAGCACAGAGCCCAACACGGGGCUCGAACUCGAACUGUGAGGUCAUGACCUGAGCUGAGGUUGGAUGCUUAACCGAUUGAGCCAUUCAGAUGCCCCAGGUAGUGUCAGUUCUCUAACUUUGUUCUUUUCCUUUUUCUCCUAUAAAUGGGUAAUAGUUUAUAAUUUAUUUGCAUGCCUCUGUUGUUUAAAGUAGGCAUUUUGAAUAUUAUAAUGUGGUAACUCAGGUUCUCCUGUCUCCCAGGGUUUGCUGUUGCUGAUUGUCAUGGGAGUACUGUUGGCUGUUUGUUUAGUGACUGCUCUAAACUAUUUUGUAAAGACUAUAUUCUUUGUUAUGUGUGGCAUUGUAUUCUGUGCUUGAUUCACUUAGUGGCCAGCUAGUGUUUGAUAGAGAUUUUCUUAAAUAUCUAGAGAUAAAAUGAAACAAAACUUUGGAUUUUUGUAGAUUGGUUCUGUGUGGAAACAUUUCCUGGAUGUUUAUCCAGGCUGUUUACAACUCUGCCCUAGCUUUCACUUUCGGCUUUCACAGAGCCAAAGGUCAACCAAAGGUGAAAGUUUAGGAUUUUCUUAGCUCUUUUCUGAACAUGCAUCCAGCCCUAGACAGGGGUGGCUUUCUAGAUUCCCUGGUUCACAUGGAGAUUUCCAAAGACUCUUAUCUACCACGUAUCUCUUUUGUGAGCUUCUUCCUUCCCUGGCUUUUUGAUGUGUGUGCUGUUUGUCACAUUUGCUAUUCCUUGUUCCAGUGCCUGUGGCUAGUAUAUUUGCCUAUAAAGAUUUUCAGUAAACAUUACCCAGGAGGUUUCUCCAGCCCUGAGAAAGUUCUGAAAAGAGUGAAACAAAGCCAAGCCCCUGAGUGCAUCCCUCAGAGAAUGCCUAGACAGGUUAAAACACAGAAGCACAAUUUUUUGAUGAUAAGGUCUGUAUUGCCUCCCCUGGUACCAGCAAGCUGCAUAACUGGAGAAUAUAUCACAUUUAAUUAUGCAAACAGAAAUGACUCUGAUAGUGAAUGAAAAGAUCAUUGGGAUUUUGUGUUAGGAAGUGGAGGUCUGAGAGCAAUCAUCCAAUAUUUAUAUGUCUUAAUGUAUAUUGUAUUUCUAGAAUUUGGACACAUAUCAAGAUGCCCUGAAGAACAGCACAACCCUUUGGGGAAUAGCCUUUUAAACAUCAUGACCAAAGACAAAGAAUCUAUCACCAGAAGCUUUUGCUUUGUGUACAUUUUGACCUUAAUAGUUGGAACCAUAAUCCAGUUCUCUGAUGAAAGUGAAUUUGCAGUAGACAUGUCGAAAAUGAAACUUACGCAUGUUCCAAAAGACCUGUCACCAAAAACCAAAGUCUUAGAUAUAUCUCAAAACUACAUAUCUAAGCUUCACAUCUCUGACAUUAGCUAUCUCUUACGGCUGGAAGUUUUGACACUUUCCUAUAAUAGACUCCAGUGCCUCGAUUUUAGCAUUUUCAAGUUCAACCAGGAUUUGGAAUAUUUGGAUUUAUCUCACAAUCAGUUGCAGAAGACCUCUUGCCACCUUAUCAGGAGUCUCAAGCAUUUAGACCUCUCAUUCAAUGACUUUGAUGUCCUGCCCAUCUGUAAGGAAUUUGGCAACUUGACGCAACUGAAUUUCUUAGGAUUAAGUGGUACAAGGUUACGACAAUUAGAUCUGCUACCAAUUGCUCAUUUGCAUCUAAGUCACAUCCUUCUGGAUUUAGAAGGUUAUUAUGCAAAAGAAAGUGAAACAGAAAGUCUUCAAAUUCUGAAUACAAAAACACUUCACCUUGUUUUUCACCCAAAUCAGUUAUUCUCUGUCCAAGUGAACAUAUCAGUUAACAGUUUAAGGUGCUUACAACUGACUAAUAUUAAAUUGAAUAACGACAACUGUCAAAUUCUAAUUAAAUUUUUAUCAGAACUCAUUAGAGGCCCAACUUUACUGAAUUUUACUCUCAAACAUGUGGAAACAACUUGGAAAUGCCUGGUUAGAGUUUUUCAAUUUCUUUGGCCCAAACCUGUAGAAUAUCUCAAUAUUUACAAUUUAAUAAUAGUUGAAAGCAUUGAUGAAGAAGAUUUUACUUAUUCUAAAACAGCACUGAAAGCAUUGAAAAUAGAGCAUGUUACAAACAGAGUUUUUAUUUAUUCACAGACGGUGUUAUAUACAUUUUUUUCUGAGAUGAACAUUAUGAUGUUAACCCUAUCAGAUACACCUUUUAUACACAUGCUUUGUCCUCAGACAUCAAGCACAUUUAAAUUUUUGAACUUUACCCAGAAUGUUUUCACAGACAGUGUAUUUCAAAACUGUUCCAAACUAGUUAGAUUGGAAACCCUUAUCUUACGAAAGAAUAAAUUAAAAGGCCUUUACAAUAUAGGUCUCAUGACUAAGCAUAUGACAUCUUUGGAAAUAUUGGAUGUUAGUUGGAAUUCUUUGGAAUAUGAUAGACAUGAUGGAAAUUGCACUUGGGGUGGGAGUAUAGCAGUGUUAAAUUUGUCUUCAAAUAUACUUACUGACUCUGUUUUCAGAUGUUUACCUCCUAAGGUCAAGGUACUUAAUCUUUAUGAUAACCGAAUAAGGAGCAUUCCUAAACUAAUCAUGAAACUAGAAGCUUUGCAAGAACUCAAUGUUGCCUCCAAUUCCUUAGCCCACCUUCCUGACUGUGGAGCUUUUAGCAGCCUUUCUGUACUGAUCAUUGACCAUAAUUCAAUUUCCAACCCAUCAGCUGAUUUCUUCCACAGCUGCCAGAAGAUUAGGUCCAUAAGAGCAGGAAACAAUCCAUUCCAAUGCACCUGUGAGCUAAGAGAAUUUAUCCAGAAUAUAGGCCAAGUAUCAAGUGAAGUGGUAGAGGGUUGGCCUGAUUCUUAUAAGUGUGACAAUCCAGAAAGUUAUAAGGGAACCCCACUAAAGGACUUUCAUGUGUCUCAGUUAUCCUGCAACACAGCUCUGCUGCUUGUCACCAUUGGGGUCACUGUGCUGGUGUUGACUGUUACUGUGACUGCCCUCUGUAUGUACUUUGAUCUGCCCUGGUAUCUCAGGAUGGUGUGUCAGUGGACCCAGACCCGGCACAGGGCAAGGAACCUACCCUUAGAAGAACUCCAAAGAACCCUUCAGUUCCAUGCUUUUAUUUCAUACAGUGAACACGAUUCUGCCUGGGUGAAGAAUGAACUGGUACCUUACCUAGAAAAAGAAGACCUAAGGAUUUGUCUCCAUGAGAGAAACUUUGUUCCUGGCAAGAGCAUUGUGGAGAAUAUCAUCAACUGCAUUGAGAAAAGUUACAAGUCCAUCUUUGUUUUGUCUCCCAACUUUGUUCAGAGUGAGUGGUGUCAUUAUGAACUCUACUUUGCUCAUCACAAUCUCUUUCAUGAAGGAUCUAAUAAUUUAAUCCUGAUCUUGCUGGAACCCAUUCCACAGAACUGCAUUCCCAGCAAGUAUCACAAGCUGAAGGCUCUCAUGACACAGCGGACUUACUUGGAAUGGCCCAAGGAGAAGAGCAAACAUGGACUUUUUUGGGCUAAUAUUAGAGCUGCUUUUAACAUGAAGUUGACAUUAAUUGCUGAAAACAAUAAUGCAGAAACUUAAAAAAAAUCAGGAAAUUCAAUUUAAGAAACCAUCAUUAACUUGGAUUCUGAUGAACAUGAUGAUUUUAAGUUUCUGUCUAGAUGAUACCUCUAUUAUAUCUACACAUUCUGGAAGACUAAAUGAAAACUAGGUUUUAACGAAGCUGAGGACCAAGGCUGGAGGCUGAGGUGGUGCUCAAACUUGCCUAUUACAGGUAGCUCAGUCUCUUCUGGUUCAACCAUUCAGUUUUGAGUGGAAACACACAAGUAAAUGGUCAUUCAAGGACCUUUCCUCUCCCUUCUCCUUUCCCAAAGAGAGUCUGUGGGAGCAGGAGUUUGUGGGACUUUAUGGCAGCAAGGAAAGUCAAACUCAGAAGUGUACCCAGUGGCCCUUGGAGUGUCCUAUGGAGCCUCCUUGAACUCUGGGAUUUGUACCUGUAUCAAGAUGCUCUAAAGGAUAACAACUAUUCUUAGGAAUGUCUAAUAUUACAAAAUGAUG